UACGUAGGUCGCAAGCGUUGUCCGGAUUUACUGGGCGUAAAGAGCGCGCAGGCGGCUGGUCAAGUCCGAUGUGAAAGCUCCCGGCUUAACUGGGAAAUUGCAUCGGAAACUGAUCGGCUGGAAGGUGGGAGAGGGUAGCGGAAUUCCCGGUGUAGUGGUGAAAUGCGUAGAUAUCGGGAGGAACACCAGUGGCGAAAGCGGCUACCUGGCCCAUUCUUGACGCUGAGGCGCGAAAGCUAGGGGAGCAAACGGG
rnacentral:rRNA from 1 species